rnacentral:lncRNA from 1 species
AUCGCAAAAAGAUAUCUGGAUUUGUUGUAGAUAUACCAUUAACUGAUCCGUAGAAAUCCAUAUGUAUCAUCUGAAGCGGCUCAGUAAUGUUGAUCAUAUCUUUGCUUCUUUGUGAUGCUCCUUCGACUUCCCUAUUGACAUACCUCAUAAGCUUCAUCCAUAUAGAAUCCCAGAUGAGGUAGUCCUCUCACCAAUUCUCUUCUUACGAAUAAAAAGAGCUCCUUGUUUUGACAUACAAGUGUGAGAGCUUCAUGUUCCAUAGCUAACACUCAUCCGAUGAAGCUUUACUAUCGAAAUAGCUCACUUCAUCUUCAGUUGAAGUUCCAUAUUAGCUACGAGCAAAUUCACAUCUUUCCUGAUUUGAGA